UUAACGAAUAAGUCACUGUUGGUCGCGGAUAUAGGGAACAAUUCUAAACCGCUAUUUUGUCUCGUUUAAAUGUUCUCAUAGAAGGUGUUGAUAGCUCUCCAAAGGCAGCAGUGUCUCCUUCUGGACUUGUUCUGCAACCAGGACUGGACCAGGAGGUUGGCAAAUUCCAGGGGUACAGAGUAGACUGGUAUCCCAGGACACACUCGAGCAGGUAACACUCGAGUUCUGGAUGGAAGCAUGAUGCAGGGAGUUCUGGGCGUACUUCACCCAGGGCAGAUCAGAUACAGUGUCCCCUGGCAACCCAAACUAACAGAAGGUGUGCUGGCAGGGGACGGUGGUCCCCAGGGCUGUAGGGAGAGCUGGAAAGGGAAGAAAAUGUGGCAUCUUUCAAAAGGGAUUGGCAAUAAAGCUAAUGGUUGUACUCCCUUCCAAGAUCAGGAGAUCAGUGAUGAAUAUGAUGCAAUAUAGGACCAUGGCCUCUCUGGAGUGGGCAACAAGAACAGUCUGCCAGAGGGAGAGGCGCAUGUCGUGCAGAACGCAGCAUGCCUUACCACAUCCUGCAAGCAGCUGUCUGGUGUGAGUGAAGCCAGGAUGACCAGUCCCCAGAAAGAUGUUGGCCCAUGUGAUGAGAGGGAAGCAGCACUAGAGAAGGACAUACUUCCAGUGGAGAUGACGUGGCAUGGGCUUCGUGAUAGGCUACAGGCAGUUCGAGAAAUAGCCUAGAAGAACCUGUGUUCUUCUCAGACCACCAUGAAGAUUAAAUAUGACAAAAAGGCAGUGAAGAGACAAUUUGAGGUUGGUGAGAAAGUACUCUCGCUUCUCCUCAUUACUGGCUCUUCCCUCAAUGCAAGUUUUUUCUGGUCCUUAAGUGAUCCUGUCAUGUUGAAGCCCUGCCGUGAUCGCACUAUACAUACUGGUUUGGGAUCCCCGAUAGAUUUGCCUUCUUGUACUCCUGUUUCAGUUGUGGUAACCCCUACUGAAUAUGCCCCUGAACAGGAUCAUUUGCAUUUAGGUCAGAACUGUCUGCCUUGUGUUCGUCUGCCUAACUCAGAAGCAUUAACACAUCUCCCUGAAAAGUUGUCUGGAUUGCCCUUAGCAGCCCAUGCUGACCUUAUCAGUCUCAUUCAGAAAUAACCCAUAUUAUUUUCUGACGUUCCCACUCGUACUACCGUCCUUCAGCAUGACAUUGAUGUUGGUUCUCAUUCACCCAUUAGACAGCACCCAUAUCGUACCUAUCCCCAGAAACUUAUAUUGAUAAAUCAAGUAUUUGUUAGAACUCCACCUUGCAAUCCCUAGUGUCAGUCCCCUGGUGUUCCCCAUGCAUUCUGGUGCCAAAACCAGAUUGCACAUACCGCGUCUGCACAGACUACAGAAAAAUAAAUGCAGUUACUGUUUCUGAUUCCUUCCCAAUGCCUAGAAUGGAAGAUUGUGUGAAUAAGAUUGGUUCAGCUAGAUUUGUAAGUAAGCUUGAUUUGCUUAAGGGAUACUGGCAAGUUUCGUUAACCUCUUAUGUAUUUUACAUUUCGGCAUUUGCUACCCCUGACUCUUUCCUACAAUAUACAGUAAUGCCUUUCAUUCUUAAAAAUGUCCCUUCUACCUUUCAGCGUUUGAUGACUAUGGUUUUUGGUGACAUGCCUAACUAUGAAGUCUAUUUGGAUGAUGUGGUUGUGUAUACCAGCACUUGGGAACAACAUGUACAGUUGCUUGAUAUUGUUUUUAAGAAGUUACUGGAUGCCGCCCUUGUUCUUAAGUUCGAAAAAUUUGAUUUUGCUAAGAGUGAGGUUGCCUACUUGGGGAAACUAGUGGGUUGUGGUAGUGUGUGUCCCCUUGAUGCCAAAGUACAAGCAAUCAAGUCUUUUCCUCCCCCAGAGAUGAAAAGACAACUCCGAUGCUUUUUGGGCAUGGCAGGUUUUUAUUGUUGUUUUUGUAGGAAUUUUUUGGUGUUUUUACCCUUCACAAAUUUGCUUCGUAACACAACCCCUUUUGAAUGGUCACAACCCUGUCAAGAUGCAUUUGAUUCAGUGAAAGCGCUCCUGUUCUAGCAAACCCUGAUUUUACUCAUCCUUUUACACUUGAGGUAGAUGUCAGUGGUAGUGGAACCAGUGCUUCCCUCCUAGAAGAGGACACACAAGACCUAGAUCACCCUAUUUUUAUUUAUUGUUCUAGAAAGUUCAUGAAACACCAGCUGGCCUACAGCAAUAUUGAUAAGGAAGCCCUUGCACUCUUUCUAGCGUUGCAACAUUUUGAGGUGUAACUUGGUGGUAGUCCGGACCCCAUCACCAUAUACACUGAUCACAAUCCGCUCGUGUGCUAACAUGGCUAAUGCUAAUCAGGGCUUAAUGCAUUGGUCUCUGAUCAUCCAAGGGUUUAAUAUUGACAUCAAACAUAAAAAAAGGUUAAGAUGUUGAUGAUUUCGACUUGUUUUGUUUUUUGUGUGCUGGAACUUCCUGUGUAAG